rnacentral:rRNA from 1 species
GUUGAAAAGCUCGUAGUUGGGUUUCUGCGGAGGAAGCGCGGUCCGCACUUGGUGCGUGUAUCUGGUCUACCUACGCAUCUUCCAGUGAAACGCUACUGCGCUUUAUUGCGUGGCGCGGCAAUCUGGACUUUUACUUUGAGGAAAUUGGAGUGUUUACAGCGAGCGAUUGGUUUGAACAUAUUAGCAUGGAAUAAUAACCUAGAACCUUGGUUCUAUUUUGUUGGUUUCUAGACUAGGGUAAUGAUCAAUAGGGAUAAUUGGGGGCAUUUGUAUCAACACGUCAGAGGUGAAAUUCUUGGAUUGUGUUACGACGAACCACUGCGAAAGCAUUUGCCAAGGAUGUUUUCAUUGAUCAAGAACGAAAGUGCAGGGAUCGAAGACGAUUAGAUACCGUCGUAGUCUGCACCGUAAACUAUGCCGAUUAAAGAUUGGAGGUCGUUCUUAUUGUGGCUCCUUCAGUAAUUUAUGAGAAAUCAAAAUUCUUGGGUUCCGGGGGGAGUAUGGUCGCAAGGCUGAAACUUAAAGGAAUUGACGGAAGGGCACCACCAGGAGUGGAGCCUGCGGCUUAAUUUGACUCAACACGGGGAAACUCACCAGGUCCAGACAUAGCAAGGAUUGACAGAAUGACAGCUCUUUCUUGAUUCUGUGGGUGGUGGUGCAUGGCCGUUCUUAGUUGGUGGAGUGAUUUGUCUGGUUAAUUCCGUUAACG